AAUAGAUACCCAGGUAGUCCACGCCGUAAACGAUGGAUGCUAGCAGUACAGCGUAUCGACCCGCUGUGUUGCGAAGCUAACGCGUUAAGCAUCCCGCCUGUGGAGUACGAGCGCAAGCUUAAAACAUAAAGAAAUUGACGGGGACCCGCACAAGCGGUGGAGCGUGUUGUUUAAUUCGAUGAUAAGCGAAGAACCUUACCCAGGCUUGACAUCCUGCGAAUUUCUCCGAAAGGAGAGAGUGCUUUUAGAACGCAGUGACAGGUACUGCAUGGCCGUCGUCAGCUCGUGUCGUGAGAUGUUUGGUUAAGUCCCGCAACGAGCGCAACCCUUGUCCCGUGUUGCCAGCAGGCCCUUGUGGUGCUGGGGACUCACGGGAGACCGCCGGGGUCAACUCGGAGGAAGGUGGGGACGACGUCAAGUCAUCAUGCCCCUUAUGUCUUGGGCUGCACACGUGCUACAAUGGCCGGUACAAAGAGCUGCGAUACCGUGAGGUGGAGCGAAUCUCAAAAGCCGGUCUCAGUUCGGU
rnacentral:rRNA from 1 species